rnacentral:rRNA from 1 species
AUUGUACGCUGGCGGCAGGCCUAACACAUGCAAGUCGAACGGUAACAGGAAGCAGCUUGCUGCUUCGCUGACGAGUGGCGGACGGGUGGGUAAUGUCUGGGAAACUGCCUGAUGGAGGGGGAUAACUACUGGAAACGGUAGCUAAUACCGCAUAACGUCGCAAGACCAAAGAGGGGGACCUUAGGGCCUCUUGCCAUCGGAUGUGCCCAGAUGGGAUUAGCUAGUAGGUGGGGUAACGGCUCACCUAGGCGACGAUCCCUAGCUGGUCUGAGAGGAUGACCAGCCACACUGGAACUGAGACACGGUCCAGACUCCUACGGGAGGCAGCAGUGGGGAAUAUUGCACAAUGGGCGCAAGCCUGAUGCAGCCAUGCCGCGUGUAUGAAGAAGGCCUUCGGGUUGUAAAGUACUUUCAGCGGGGAGGAAGGGAGUAAAGUUAAUACCUUUGCUCAUUGACGUUACCCGCAGAAGAAGCACCGGCUAACUCCGUG